CGGUCCUAACCAUUUUAUGACGUCCACCGAAACCUAGAUUGAUCGGCCCUCCCAAACCCAGCUCUUGGACAAGAAAAAGACUUUCUUCCCGAACGGAGGAUUCUUCUCCAUUUUCGUAUUCUCUACUUGUCCCCGAAAAAUCCCUGACGCAAAGCAUAACUCUCCGAUUCAUCUAUCAAUCUUUGAAGGCUAAUUUUUAUAGUCUCCGAGAUUAAGAUUUUUGGGUUGGAAUUAUUUCAGAGUUUUCAACCCUUGAAUUCAGGAUUUUCGGGGGUCAGAUUUAUUUUAUGGCAUUUGAAUGCCAAAAGGGUACGGAGGUUUCUAAGAAGCUAGUGGAUUGUGUAGAAAAUUCUUGUGAAGAACAAAUUGAGUUUAAUCAGUUCAAUUCCGAAGAGAAAACCAAAACAACAACAAUUUUAGAUCUCACAUCCAAGAAAGGCAUUAUAACCUCUGCCAAUUCGAAACACUUUUUGGGUAAUGAUGUUUUGCCCAUUUUUCGUCCCUCAUUUACCGACCUUCCUCCCGCAUUGAUAUCUGAAAUCCUUAACAGCCUUGAUCCGAAAGAGCUUGGUAUAGUCUCAUGUGUCUCGGCAAGUCUCCGUAGGAUUGCGUCUGACCACCAUGUCUGGAAGAAAUUCUAUUGUGAGAGGUGGGGUCUUCCAACAGUUCCAACACCUCUGGGUUCAGAGUAUUCAGAUGAGAAGUCAUGGAAGGAUUUAUUUGUGGAGAGGGAGUUUGGGAGUAAGACUUUUAUGGGACGUUAUAGCCUGGAUGCUAUGUAUGGCCACACUGAAGCAGUUCGCACUGUUUUCCUUCUGGCCUCUGCAAAGCUCAUAUUCACUUCAGGGUAUGACUCGGUUGUCCGAAUGUGGAACAUGGAAGCAGGUUUGUCGAUUGCGUCGUCACCACCACUUGGCUGCACUGUCCGCGCAGUUGCAGCGGAUACGAAACUAUUGGUUGCUGGUGUUACCGACGGAUUUAUCCAUGGUUGGAGGGCAGUGGAGGGGCUUCAAUACUUGUUUGACCUCAGGGGUUCUCAGAGCCAGAACACAGAGUUCCGACUAUGGGAACAUGAGGGACCUAUAACCUCUCUUGCUUUGGAUCUUACGAGGAUGUAUAGUGGUUCAUGGGACAUGACUGUUCGCAUAUGGGAUCGUUUUUCAUUGAAGUGCUUGAAGGUUUUGAGGCAUAGUGAUUGGGUAUGGGGACUUGUUCCUCAUGAUACUACAGUUGCUAGCACAUCAGGUUCGGAUAUUUAUGUUUGGGAUUCCAGCAGUGGGAAUUUGAUGACCAUUAUUCGUAAUGCUCAUGUUGGUCAUUCUUACGCUCUGGCGAGAAGCCACACUGGGAAUUUUCUUUUCACUGGUGGAGAAGAUGGUGCAAUACACAUGUUUGAGAUUGCAAGUCAUUGCGCUGAGACUGCUGUUUUUAAGGUUGCUACAUGGAUUCCCCACUCAGGUCCUGUGCAUUCCCUUGCAUUUGAGUUUCCAUGGCUUGUUUCAGCUUCUAGUGAUGGGAAGCUGUCACUAAUUGAUGUAAGAAAGCUGCUAAAGACUAACAGAAGUGCUUCAGGGACGCGUGUUUCAAGGGCUAAGCAUGUGAGCCGGAAUAGUGUGGAGCCCCCACAGAGGAUGUUACAUGUGCAUGGGAAGAAUCUGUUCUCAGUUGACAUUGGGGCUGAUCGUAUAGUAUGUGGAGGGGAGGACGGUACUGUUAGGAUGUGGAACUUCUCGCAAGCAUUGGAAAUUGAGCAGAGGAUUCGUGCUUUAAGAGGAAUACGGUUGGAGAACAGGAUGAGGCGGCGCAGGCUCCAAAUAGAGAUGAACAGUAAAGGUGGUUGGACUGAUCAAUGUUCAGUUGCAGCCAAGAAGAACCCAAUUAAUGGUGACAGGAGUGUUGUUUGGCACAAUAAGCGUGGGAUGAGCAGCAAGCUGAAGGCAUAGAAGCACUGACAUUGUUUGCUUCUAGGCACCACUGCCCUUUUACUCUUUGGGUAUCUAAUAUCGAUGUAGUUUUCAAUUGAUGGUCCAAGCAGCCUGAAGUUUGCAUUCAGCUUUGAUAUUCGUGUUGACUAUGUAAUAUGUUGGCUGGCGGCCCUCUCAUGGGAUCCCGGAACUCUUCUUUAACGCAUCGCAUCAGGACGCGUAGCUGACGACAUUCUCUGUAUGUCUCUUCUUCAAGUCGCAUGACGACCCGCUUAUUGAAGUGCUUGCUGACGAGGCUUUCGGUGGCUCACUAUCUCGUCACGUCAGGACGACCUUGCGGACUCCAAUGUAGUGACUUCUCUCUUCCUCUGCAA